GAUGAACGCUGGCGGCGUGCCUAAUACAUGCAAGUCGAGCGAACAGACGAGGAGCUUGCUCCUCUGACGUUAGCGGCGGACGGGUGAGUAACACGUGGAUAACCUACCUAUAAGACUGGGAUAACUUCGGGAAACCGGAGCUAAUACCGGAUAAUAUAUUGAACCGCAUGGUUCAAUAGUGAAAGACGGUUUUGCUGUCACUUAUAGAUGGAUCCGCGCCGCAUUAGCUAGUUGGUAAGGUAACGGCUUACCAAGGCAACGAUGCGUAGCCGACCUGAGAGGGUGAUCGGCCACGCUGGAAGUGAGACACGGUGCAGGCGCCUACGGGAGGCAGCAGUAGGGAAUCUUCCGCAAUGGGCGAAAGCCUGACGGAGCAACGCCGCGUGAGUGAUGAAGGUCUUCGGAUGGUAAAACUCUGUUAUUAGGGAAGAACAAAUGUGUAAGUAACUAUGCACGUCUUGACGGUACCUAAUCAGAAAGCCACGGCUAACUACGUG
rnacentral:rRNA from 1 species